rnacentral:rRNA from 1 species
CAGUCGCCACGGUAAUACGUAGGUGGCAAGCGUUGUCCGGAAUUAUUGGGCGUAAAGGGCUCGCAGGCGGUUUCUUAAGUCUGAUGUGAAAGCCCCCGGCUCAACCGGGGAGGGUCAUUGGAAACUGGGAAACUUGAGUGCAGAAGAGGAGAGCGGAAUUCCACGUGUAGCGGUGAAAUGCGUAGAGAUGUGGAGGAACACCAGUGACGAAGGCGGCUUUUUGGCCUGUAACUGACACUGAGGCGCGAAAGCGUGGGGAGCAAACAGGAUUAGAUACCCGAGUAGUCCCUGUCUCUUAUAA